rnacentral:rRNA from 1 species
UACGUAGGGUGCAAGCGUUAAUCGGAAUUACUGGGCGUAAAGCGUGCGCAGGCGGUUUUGUAAGUUUGUCGUGAAAGCCCCGGGCUUAACCUGGGAACUGCAUUUGAUACUCUGGAGCUUGAGUACGGGAGAGGAUAGUGGAAUUCCCAGUGUAGAGGUGAAAUUCGUAGAUAUUGGGAAGAACACCCGUGGCGAAGGCGGCUCUCUGGGACGGUACUGACGCUGAGACGCGAAAGCGUGGGGAGCGAACAGG